rnacentral:tRNA from 1 species
UGAGUUGUAGUUUAAUUUGGGAAAACGCCAUUUUUUGGGGGUGGUUCAUACCAGUUCGAGCCUGGUCGACUCAG